rnacentral:lncRNA from 1 species
AAUUAUGUCAUAGAGGUUAAAGUCCGAUAAAGUCAUGGUCAAGGAUAGUCUUUACUCUCUGGCUUAUCUUCGGUCCUAUAGUUUCAAUAAAAAUAAAAUGUAAAAUCUUUGUCUGUUAAUAAUAUUCGCAAGCACGUGUGUGAAUAAUGAAAACUUGAUGCGCUAGCUGUUUUAAAUUACAAGCUAACGAAAAUAAUAACAUUUCUUUUUACAAGUUCCCACAAGAUGAAACUCUCCGAAAGGUAUGGUGUAAUACAAAUUUUUCAUCUGCUAAAACAUUAGUCCCUAUAGUCAACAUUUUUCGAAGUGAUGGUUUUUCUAUCCUUGUGGGCACAAAUCGGCAAAAACAAAUAGAAAGGAUCGCUUCCAAUAAAAUAUCGAUUUGCUAAAAGAGGAUAAACAAAAAAUACAGCAUGAAGGUGUUCAGUGCAGAAACACAAUAGGAAUAACUGACGGACAAUAUCAGUGAGAUAAUUCCACGAUGUAUAUAAUGGAAAUUUUUGAGACAAUUGAAGAGACUAUAUCUACUAAUUCAGUACGUCAUUAUGUAGAAUUAAUGUUCUACACGCCAAUCAAUGCAACAGUUAACGUACAGUUUGGUCCUUCGAUAUUGCUUAUUGCCUAGGAUGUACAGUUAGAUGUUACCAACAAUCAGCAUAAUGCGAAUAAAUUUUCAAGUCGCAUUUGUAAUUUGAA